GACGAACGCUGGCGGCGUGCUUAACACAUGCAAGUCGAACGGAAAGGCCCUGCUUUUGUGGGGUGCUCGAGUGGCGAACGGGUGAGUAACACGUGAGUAACCUGCCCUUGACUUUGGGAUAACUUCAGGAAACUGGGGCUAAUACCGGAUAGGAGCUCCUGCUGCACGGUGGGGGUUGGAAAGUUUCGGCGGUUGGGGAUGGACUCGCGGCUUAUCAGCUUGUUGGUGGGGUAGUGGCUUACCAAGGCUUUGACGGGUAGCCGGCCUGAGAGGGUGACCGGCCACAUUGGGACUGAGAUACGGCCCAGACUCCUACGGGAGGCAGCAGUGGGGGAUAUUGCACAAUGGGCGGAAGCCUGAUGCAGCAACGCCGCGUGCGGGAUGACGGCCUUCGGGUUGUAAACCGCUUUCGCCUGUGACGAAGCGUGAGUGACGGUAAUGGGUAAAGAAGCACCGGCUAACUACGUGCCAGCAGCCGCGGUGAUACGUAGGGUGCGAGCGUUGUCCGGAUUUAUUGGGCGUAAAGGGCUCGUAGGUGGUUGAUCGCGUCGGAAGUGUAAUCUUGGGGCUUAACCCUGAGCGUGCUUUCGAUACGGGUUGACUUGAGGAAGGUAGGGGAGAAUGGAAUUCCUGGUGGAGCGGUGGAAUGCGCAGAUAUCAGGAGGAACACCAGUGGCGAAGGCGGUUCUCUGGGCCUUUCCUGACGCUGAGGAGCGAAAGCGUGGGGAGCGAACAGGCUUAGAUACCCUGGUAGUCCACGCUGUAAACGGUGGGUACUAGGUGUGGGGUCCAUUCCACGGGUUCCGUGCCGUAGCUAACGCUUUAAGUACCCCGCCUGGGGAGUACGGCCGCAAGGCUAAAACUCAAAGGAAUUGACGGGGCCCCGCACAAGCGGCGGAGCAUGCGGAUUAAUUCGAUGCAACGCGUAGAACCUUACCUGGGUUUGACAUGGAUCGGGAGUGCUCAGAGAUGGGUGUGCCUCUUUUGGGGUCGGUUCACAGGUGGUGCAUGGCUGUCGUCAGCUCGUGUCGUGAAAUGUUGGGUUAAGUCCCGCAACGAGCGCAACCCUUGUUCACUGUUGCCAGCACGUUAUGGUGGGGACUCAGUGGAGACCGCCGGGGUCAACUCGGAGGAAGGUGGGGAUGACGUCAAGUCAUCAUGCCCCUUAUGUCCAGGGCUUCACGCAUGCUACAAUGGCUGGUACAGAGAGUGGCGAGCCUGUGAGGGUGAGCGAAUCUCGGAAAGCCGGUCUCAGUUCGGAUUGGGGUCUGCAACUCGACCUCAUGAAGUCGGAGUCGCUAGUAAUCGCAGAUCAGCAACGCUGCGGUGAAUACGUUCCCGGG
rnacentral:rRNA from 1 species